UGCCAGCCGCCGCGGUAAUACGAAGGGUGCUAGCGUUGUUCGGAAUUACUGGGCGUAAAGCGCGCGUAGGCGGCGCAUUAAGUCAGAGGUGAAAGCCCGGGGCUCAACCCCGGAAUUGCCUUUGAGACUGGUGUGCUUGAGUACGGAAGAGGUGAGUGGAAUUCCCAGUGUAGAGGUGAAAUUCGUAGAUAUUGGGAAGAACACCAGUGGCGAAGGCGGCUCACUGGCUCGAUACUGACGCUGAGGUGCGAAAGCGUGGGGAGCAAACAGGAUUAGAUA
rnacentral:rRNA from 1 species